GACGAACGCUGGCGGCGUGCUUAACACAUGCAAGUCGAACGGAAAGGCCCCUUUGGGGGUACUCGAGUGGCGAACGGGUGAGUAACACGUGAGUAACCUGCCCUUGACUUCGGGAUAACUUCAGGAAACUGGGGCUAAUACCGGAUAGGAAUCCUUGCUGCAUGGUGGGGGUUGGAAAGCUUCGGCGGUUUUGGAUGGACUCGCGGCUUAUCAGCUUGUUGGUGGGGUAGUGGCUUACCAAGGCUUUGACGGGUAGCCGGCCUGAGAGGGCGACCGGCCACAUUGGGACUGAGAUACGGCCCAGACUCCUACGGGAGGCAGCAGUGGGGAAUAUUGCACAAGGGGCGGAAGCCUGAUGCAGCAACGCCGCGGGCGGGAUGACGGCCUUCGGGUUGUAAACCGCUUUCAGCAGGGGCGAAGCUUGUGGUGACGGUACCUGCAGAAGAAGCACCGGCUAACUACGUG
rnacentral:rRNA from 1 species